GUGAAUGCUACCAUCCCGCUGAUCAGAAAACACGUCCCUUUUAUUUAGCGCUUUGCGUUUAUAAAGGUCUUUACCUGCACCAUCUCAUUUGAAUAGUCGUUCAGCAACAAAAAUUUACUGAGCAUCUAUGAAACACCAAGCACUGUGCUGCAUGUUGGGGAUAUAGCCACAGACAAGCUGACAAGAUGCCUGCCCUCAUUACGGCCAUAUAAGGAUGUCACUGGUGCGAGACUCCCACAAAUGUCAACUGACUGGUGACAAAGGGAUGGAAUAUAGCCCUACAUAGGCUGAUGAGAGUGGAUAAUGGGGAACUGACCUGGUUCGGCAGGUGUGAUGACUGACUAAGACCUCAAAGAGAAAUGGAGUCCAUUAGGUUAAAGGGAAAGGGGUGAAGAAGAACAUUCCAGCAGACGGAAGAGUCUGUACAAAGGCCCUAAGGCAGCAGAGAACCCGGAGAGGCAAACAAGAAUAUAUUCACCUAAUCCCCACUUUAUAGAAAAAGGACUAAGACCCAGAGAACCACAAGGCAGAACCAGGACUGGGCCGAGCUCUGGUCACAAAGCUUAAACCCUAGCUUUGUGAAACUCGAUGGAAUCUUCAAAGCCCCCAGGGUCCCCUUCCCAGCCCCUGCCACGGGUCUAGCUCAGGCUGGGCUGGGCAUGUGGGUGGAGACGGCAGGAGGGUGGGGGGCAGGGCUGUUCUCACAAGGACUUGCAGGCCUGCAAGGAAAUGGCACCACGUGAUUGCCCAAGUUGGGGCAAUGAACUUGGACUUGGGGGAGGUGGUCAGCCAUCAGGCCCCAUGAGCUGUCAUGGUGGCAGAGUCGAUCUGAUCCUCUAUGGUAUUGGGUCAAGCACCACAGGGGUGGUUUUCCAAAGAACAGGUCAACCCUGCCAGGCAGAGGCCAGCACACCUCCGGAGGAGCCAUGUGGAACCCUGCCCCAGCCAGCAGGGAGGAAAGACAGGCUCCUCAGCCCUGACCAGGGCAUUUGAGCCAGACUGUCAGUUCACACAGCUGGUAUUUGUCAUGCUCUAAGAAGGGAUGUGAACAUGUGGCAGUCACUGGCUCGUGCCACCGGGAGGCCCCCAGUGGCUCUCUCAACACCUUGCUGUGUCUUCAUCACAGCGCUCGUCACCACCGGAAAUUAUCCCACGUGGCAACAUGUCUGCUGUCUGUCUGUCUGUCCAGGAGACGGCACAUCCCGUGAGGACGGAGCCCGUCCGUGCCCACCUUCUCAGAAGCUGGCACUCACUCAGCCAGGCUCAUUCCCAUCGCCCAGCACGUGAGCUCCGGAGCCUAAAUGCAGUCCAGGAAGGGGUGCUGAAACCAGGACGGCAAUCACAGAUACACAGAAGGAGAAGCAGCCUGACAGGUGACGCCACGUGGGGGCUGAGAGAGAUACAAGGUCCUAGUUCUCACCUAGGUUCCUGGUUAUGACUCCUGAUUCCACAGUGAUUCCAUAAUGACUCCACAGUGGUUAAAAAAAAAAAACCAUAAAAUUGGUCACAGUCAGCAAUGCCUUGUGUAGUGGAGACUGUGGGGCUUCCUCCCACGGCUCUCUGGUUCAAGAUACUCUGCCCCCAGAAGCUGAGUCCCUUCCUAGGAACUGCUCAGCCUAAGGGAGGGUCUUGCCCCAAGUCGCACACCGCCCUCCCCCAGAGACAGCUGUGUCUAAUGGUGGGUCCAUGUGGAGCUACAAAGACCUGGCCCCCUUGCCUGAAUUGAAGACAGGUCUGAAGGGACAUUCCAGACUCAGAGCCACCCCCACCCCCCACCCCGUGUCACUGGCUGAGGCCUCUGUUGCAAUUGAGCCACUCCCUCCGUCUGCUGCUGCUUCUCAGAGCUGAUCCCAGGAGUUCCCUCCAAUAAUCCUCCUGCAUGCAAAUCUCAGAGUUGCUUUUCCAGGAAGCCCAACCCAAGAUGCCUCCCAAGAUGCACCUUGGAAGCCAAGGAAACCCAACCGGGAUCCCAAUUUUGGGUCAGUGUCCUUGGCUUCCAGUCAACCUGUUUCACUGAGACUUGGAGAGCGUUCUUGUUCCUGGCUAGAAAUGGCCAUGUGCUGGUUAAGGAUGUUGCUGGCUCUCGAGCUGGGCUGCCGGAGUUCAAAUCCCAGCUCCACUCUCCCUAGCUACAGGGCCCCAAGCAAGGCUUCUUUUCUGGACAGGAUUUCCAUUCCCAAAAUGGAAUGUCUCCCAGGAUGUGGAGUAUCACAGACGUCAAUACACAGAAGUCUUCAGAACACGACCCUGCGCUCUGCACGAGUCCCUGACCCAUCAGCCCUCAGCCGCUGCUGAUCUCACAAGGUGCACACUCGUCCUCUCUCUCGUGGGGACCACAGUGUGCAGGUCUGCGGCCCAGCAAGCCCAGCAGAGCCUGGCCCCGAUGUGGAUCGCUGGGUGGACGGGCAAAUGGGGGCAUGCCUGUCUGCACUUGGAUGGGGGCUCCCUUUCUCCCACCUUGCCUAGCCUUCUAGAAGCUUUCAGAAUGAGGGACCCUGAGCAGAUGGAAGACACUGUUAUUAUCUAAACUGUCUGAAACUUGCUUGCCACUAAUUCAGAUCAACCAGGGACACACCAUUUCCAUAAAUCAACCAAGCACACAAUAGGCCCACCCAGCAAAGCAUAAGAUGACAAUAAUAAUCAUGUGUAUUUAUGCAGUGCUUUUGUUCUGCGAAGCUCCAAACAGUUGACAAUCAUUAUUCCUGUUAAUACUACAGCCGUCUCGGAGAGGCGGGCAGCGAACAGGCGCCUCUCCCCUUGAACAGGCAGGAAAAUAAUACUGAUAGUAACAGUGAA